UUCAGGGUUUCUCGGGUUUUGAUUAAUUGUAAGUUUAGCCAUUGCUACUUCGCUUGCAGCGCGCGUGUCGGCUAGACCGUCCGUCUGCUUGUUCGGAACCCCACUUUAUCGUGUAUCAAUUCAUCUUUGUGUGUCUUGUCUAUCUAGCAAUUCAGAUUGCUUUUAUCUUGUUCUUGCUUGUUUCUUCGAUUUGCUUGCAGGAAUAAGGUUGAUUUGCACCGGCAAGAUCAACAACCCACAGAGAGGUGUAUCGAUCGCUAAGACGCAACGCAACGUCUUGUACGGUUGUAGUCGGGUCGUCAACGUUUCUCCCAAAUCGUAGUUAUUAUCAACUCACCGAAAGAUCAGGCCAACAACAGCCGUGAGUGUCGAGAGGAACUCAGGGUUCAUCAAGGAGUAUCCCUUCCCCACCUCUCCUUCCUCUCUUUCCUUUUUAGGGCGCCGGUAGCAGAGAGGACGGGAGAGCGGCGGUCAGCCAGAGCAAGGGAGGGCACCGAUGGCUCCUCACCUCUUCUCUCCCUCCCUCCUCUCUCUCUCCCAUCACUGGUGCUCUGAGUCCAGCUCGCCUAUGUUGGUAGCCUCGACGAGAGGCUCGUGACGGUAGAUGAGGUUCGUGUGGCCCUUGCCCAUUGCCUCCAGACCGCGCUCGAAGUGGGUGCGCCAAGGUCAACAAAGCCAAGAAUGGUGCGGAAGGCAGGGGCUUCGCUCAUCAGCGGGGCCAUUUGAGGCAAGGAGCGCACAAAAGGCGAUGAUCGCCGCUUUUUAAUACACCAUUCUACACGAGGCCGGGAGGGCAGCGAUGGCAAAGUGGGGACCGCGCCAUCCAGCUCCUUGUUAUCGUCGCUGCCUCCUCGAUUGCCGUAGCAUGGAGGAGAGUAGGUGGCGACAAAGUAGCAACAAUAGCAAAAGCUCGACAGCCAAGGAAGUCACCAUGGGACCCCGUGUAGAUUGGCAACUAUGGUGUUGACUGAAGAAUCGAUUCGGGUACUGCAAGAACCCAUACCUCUACUAUCAUGCAAACUCUGUCCUCAAUGUAUCCUCUUGCGUGCACGGACGGGUGACCGAGCACGAUCUCGUGCAGGACUCAUCCGGCUACUGGUGCCACUGCUUCCCUUUGUACUGGGAUAGGCAGUCGUGCGGGGCAAAGAGGCAACCGUUUUUUUUAUUUUUAGUUUCUUUUGUCACUUACAUGUGGGUCCCACAUGUACUUUUAAAUUUCUUCACGACUAAGUUGUCACGUGGACAUCAAAUCAGCAAAAAGGCACCAUCAAUACCAUCAAGGAAGCUAUUUUACACGAUUUUAGUAGUUGAAGGAGCCAUUAUAUCCGGUUUUACGGUUGAAGGAUACGACUCAUAUGAUCCGACCUAUAUUUGAGGGAAUCCAAUUGGACUUUCCCAACAGAAUAUACACGCUAUAUCAUACAUGGGCUUUGGAAUGGGCUCGGUCUAACUUGGACUCCGUGCGUGCACAUGGGCUCUUACCCGUUGUGGGCCUAAUAUACUCAUGUUCAUGGGCCAUCUGAUCAUCAAGAAGUCAUCGGACCAGGAGUCCAGGAUAAAGGGCUUCUUUGGCAUGCAAUCAGGUACUACGACCAUUCUACAAUGGCUGGCCCCUUUACCCGGUAAAUUAGCAUGCAUGGGCGAUCCAUGGGUAGAGCGACAAAAUAUGUAGUGAAAAUUAAGAAACUAUGAUCUGAAAAUUGUUCGUGUCAUGAAGAGUAAUGGUUAAAUUUGCGAGUAAAAUUUAUACUCGUGAUGACGUAGAUAAAUCUUAGACAUAUUUUAUUUAACGAAAGUUUUCAGGUUUUCAUUUUAUUCGUGAUUUGCAUUACAUAUUUUUCCCGGCUAGAGUAGUGCACCAUCCAUGAACGACCGUGCCAUCAUGGUCCAUUAUCCAUGUGGACUAGCUGAAGGCUGAAGCAGUAGUGUUGGAGUAUCUUUUUUGCCUACUUGUUUGCAGGAGUUAUUGAAACCUACAUACGCUUCCAAGAUCAAUGUCCAAUUAUUAGACAUCGAAGGACACGAAAAGAUUAGUAUAUGUAUGGAAGCAUGCACCGAACAUAGUGCAGAUGGCCCCAUCGUUUUGGCUCAUUCAUCAAAUAAACCAAACGACAUAUUUACAAAUAAAAAAUAAUUUAUUAAUAAAACUUUUAUAUACGUGUUCUUAGCGUUUUAAAACCAAAUACUGAAAAAUAAACUUCGUUGAAAAAAAAUCCCAAAAUCAACUGCAAAUUUAUGGUUAAAAUUUAAAUUUUGGCUUAUAUGCAUAAUUAUAAGCGAAAAGAUGAAAAAUAAAUGAAACAACUAAAAAUAAUUAUAAUUGACUUGUUUAUGCUUUAGAAAUCUACUCCAUCUUUCAAAAAAAAGUCCAAAUUCAUAUCAUUGGACUUUAUUUUACAGGAGGAGUAAGUCUGAAAAAUAACCUAUGAAGAAAAAAAUUCAAAAUCAACUUAAUUUAAAAUUAAGUUUUGAAGUUUAAAUUUUAGCUACGGUUUGUAAGCCAGUACUCCCUCCGUAAAAAAAAACCAACCUGAGAAGUCACAUGUUGUUUUUUUUUUUACUGCAGCAGCCGGCGGUACUCCCGCCUCCAGGACGAGAUCACGCAGCACAACACCAAGAUAUUAGAAUCCUCGACCUCCGCGAUUUCAGUUUCUUAUUUUGCAGAAAUUCAGGCUCUAAAAAAUCGAAAGCCACACAUCCAGAGUUAAAUUUUCGAUCAAAAACCUCCACGAGGUAGAUCUCCUUGAUAUCGAUCAAACGAGUCCUGUAGUAGUAAAUUUAUUUGUACUUUGUAUUGGUGUAUUUUCGUUUUGCGUCUAACAUGUAAUCGCAAAAAUAUUUUAUUUUUAUUAUAUAUAUUAUAAUAGAAAACAUAGUGAAAGAUAUAUUUUGAAAACCAUGAUAUUAUUCAAAACGUUAACAAUUAUGAAAGUGAAGAAAAUAAAGGAUUUACAAAUAUCACACGAUGUACGGUUAUUGGAUAACUGUAAUACCGUCAUACCGUGAGGCAACGAUAACCCUUAUCAAGACGACAAGGGAAACCAUGCUACUAACCACUUAACCAGCAACCACCUGUAAAAAAAAAAAGCAACCAAAAUUUUUUAGGAUCUCUGUUCUUUAAAAAAAGGAAUAAUCUUGUAGAUAUGAUACUACACCUGUUACAUGUAAUCAUGCUUGAGUCCACUUGCUGUACUAUUGUAGCUGUUGUAAUGUUAAUGUAUCAACAGUAAGCAUUAACUAAUCAACAUGGUCCACUGAACUAGGAGUAGUAUAGUAUAUCAUUAAUAAGCCAUUUGCCGAUCGCUUCAAAGAACAGGGGAAUGACGCUUGUGAUCUAGCAGUGCAAAGGUAGUACUAGCAAUCAGUGGCUUGUACUAUUGGGACCAAGCCAGGUGUUUCAUUCGUCACAACAGGCAAAAAAAAAUCGAAGAAAACGAAGUAAAAUCUCCGGAUAAAUUAAGCGCACAUCUGUCCACUACCUAGCUUACACGUGUCCCUUUUUCAACGUCGCUCUCCAGCUUGAUUCUUCGAGCAAGCAACCCCUCCCCAGGUCGUUCCUAUCCGGAAAAGAAAGGAAAGACAGGGAAUUGCUUUGCAGCAAUGUCAUUAGUUUUUCAUUCAUUUUCAGUCGAUUUCUCGUGUUUGGAUCGACAUUUUCAUCCAUAGGCCGGUGAUGCUUGUAUCCAUUGUUUCACUAGAGUUUUAUUUUUAUGAGAAACCCUAUGUUGGGUUUAAUUACUUACUUCCUCUGAUCAUAAGUACUGUAUUAAACAUUUAGGAUAAAAUUCGAUUAGAAAUUUUAAAAUUUUGACUAAUAAAUUUUAUUACAAUAAUUUUAGCAAAUAUAAUAAAAUUAUGAUGCCGUAAUAAUACUUUUAAAGAAAAUCUAUACAUAUAAUUUUUUAAAAGAUAACUACAUACUCCCUCCGUCCCAUAAUAUAGCAACCCAGUACUAUAAGAUGUCUCAUCCGGUACUAGGUUGCUAUAUUAUGGGACGGAGGGAGUAUUCAAAAGGCUAUUGAUAGCUUAAGUUUUAAAAGUUUAAACAAAUAUUAUUUUACAUUUUAAAUAUUUAUGAUCGAAGGUAGUAUGUUAAAAGAGAUGUAAGAUAUAUCAUAUGUGCAAUGAGCCAAUGACCCAUAUGUAGCUAGGGGUGGGCGUUCGGUCUACCCAAAAAUUUCGAUCUCGGUCUUCGGUUUUUCGGUCACUUCGGUUUUUGAAAAGUCAGGACCGAAUUUCAUCCAAAAAAUCAGGACCGAUGAAUUCGGUCUCAGUCUCGGUCAGACCGAAUUUGGAGGAGCCGAGGCGGAGUAUGGAGACGACGCCGGCGAGAUGUGGAGGCGGAGGGCGGAGGUGGCGGCGCGGCGCAAUGGAUCCGGCGGCCGGCGGCCCGCACGACCGGCGAGGCGGCGUGGAGGCGGAGGGCGGAGACGACGCCGGCGAUGUGGAGACGGAGGGCGGAGGUGGCGGUGCGGCCCGAUGGAUCCGGCGGCCGGCGGCCCACGCGACCGGCGAGGCGACGUGGAGGCUGAGGGCGGAGGUGGCGGCGCGGCACGAUGGACCCGGUGGCUGGCGGCCCGCGCGACCGGCAAGGCGGCGUAGAGACGGAGACGGCGCCGGCGAUGUAGAGGGCGGAGGGCGGAGGUGGUGGCGUGGUACGAUGGAUCCAGCGGCCGGCGGCCCGGCGCGACCAGCGAGGUGCAGUGGAGGCGGAGGGCGGAGACGGGUGGAGCGAUGGAGGCAGCGGCAGUAGUGCGGCGCGAUGGAAGGGAGGGUGGCGCGAUAGGGAUGGAAUGGGAAUGCAGCCUGGAUGGAUGAGGGUGGCCUCUAGGGUUUAGUGGUGUAUUAGGCUUAUUGGGCCUCCUGGACCUAUUGGGCCACAAUUCAGUUUUCUCGAUUAAUUCAGUUAACCGAGCCUAAUAACCGAAUUACCCGAAUAAAUUUCGGUCUUUGACAUGCUGAGACCAAAUUACUACACGAAUUUCUCGGUCUCGGUCUUUUCGGUCUCGGUCUUUUCGGUUCGGUUCUUCGGUUCGGUCUUAUUUUGCCCACCCCUAUAUGUAGCUGAAGAAACUAGUCUAGAGAGUAGAGACGAAUGGAAGGGGCUGGAUGGCCACAUGAUGUACAUGCCAGAAGUACGUGGAGAAAAGGCCGUGCGAGGUAUGUCACACAAGGACAGGAAAAUAGAAGGAGCAUGGUUACUGACAUCCAAUGAAAUAUAUGGUGUAUGUGCCAAUGUGAAAUCAGGGGGCGAUCACCUAAAUAUGCAUGAAAAUGUCAAAAAGGGAGACGAUACCAUAGAUAUGAUCUAUAAUAUGUGCAUCGAAUUUGAUAUGUCAGCCUAAUAUUCGACUUAAAAGUACUUUUAGGAUAAGUGUUACUUUUUCUUACUCUUAGAUAUAUCUUACAUUUUUGCCUUUAAAAAAUGAUUUUUUUUUCCAGUGACGACUAAACAUGAACACCAUAAGCUCCAUGGCAAAUACACGAUAUGACAUAGCAAAAAGGUUAAUUCAUCCGUCCCGUAAUAAGUAUUAAGCUGCAUGCAUCGACCAGUUCAACCCGAAAGCUUAAGCUGAUGAGGAAAGACAGACAAUUCAUUUUAUAUUCCAACACUCCCCCUCACGCGAGGCGCCCUCAAUCCAGCCAGGAUUCGAACUCGAGACCUUUGGCUCUGAUACCAUAUUAAGUUGCAUGCACCGACCAGUUGCACCUAAAAGCCUAAGCUGAUGAGGAAAGGCGGGCAAUUCACUUUAUAUUCCAACAAUAAGUUCAUUUUAGCUCAUUCCGUUUAUUCCAAAAUAAGUUUAUUUUUAGAGCAAUUAUUACAUCCGAGUUUGUGAAAUUAGAAAAUAAUUAUCUUAUCAGGAGUAGAUAAAGUGAGGAAUAGUUGCAUUGGGAUUUGAUAAAGUGGAGUUUAAUAUUUUUAUUUUGUAUUGAUACGUGUAGGAUAAGUGAAAGAUAAACUUAUUUUGGAACAGAGGUGGUAACUAGGUGUACUACAUAAUUUGUUGUUCAAAUUUUUACUGUGGAGCCAAGCACAACUCCCAUUUUAUAGUCUUAGUCGCCCUCUCAAGAAGAAACAAUAUUUUGGGAUCCUCUUGACAAAAUCCUAAUUUGUGAUGGAUAAAGAGGAAAGAAGGAUAGUGGAAGCACCAUGAAUGCUACAGUUGUUUUUGAUGCUGGAAUUUGAUGGGUUGCUUUUGACCAUUACUCGGACAAACUUAAUUCAUGGUGAAAGUGAUAUAGCAAAUGUGAAAAAAAAAACAGAGAGGAUCAGUCCUCGAUAGCCAUGAAGACUAGCAUGUUUGUGCCAAGUCAUUCAUCGACACCACACAAGUUGCUAUCUCUAUCUCAAAAUGUUACUAUCUAAUUAAUAUAUAGAAUGUAAUAUCACCUAGUAUUAUAAAUAUAAACAGAAAAAGAUUCAUCCAGAUUCAAAUGAACAUAUAUGUAUAUAACUCAAGUGAGUGCUCUUGGCUAACUUUUUUUUUAAUAUAAUAAGUUCCCAACAAUUCCUACGGUGGUGCAUGCAGUCCAUGUAAGAAAAAGUUUGCCUUUUGAUCCAUUUGCAAGGCCCCUACCAAAUUUCUCCCCUGCCACAAAAAAAACCGGUGUUCCACAUGGGCGGCUGGAUAUGCACUCUGCCACACGGGAUCCGCGAAGAUUCCUGCGCCUCGCGGGAAGCCGCCACUGACACCAACCGCCACCUCUCCAUGACAGCGGGUCCCACGGAAUCCCGGGCCCACCGCCACGUGACCGGGGCUUAGAGCAAGUUCAAUAUUAUAGCCCACUACUAUCUCUAAUUCAUCUAUAGUCAAUCUAAUAGCCAAUUCAUAUAAUAAUUGUUAACUAUACUAUUAAUAUAUUGUUUCACUUGUCAUACACACAUUACGUCUUAUAGUCCGUGCUACAGCUGGCUAUAAAUCUAUAGCCCGCUGCUUAUCUCUCUCAUCGUUUAUCUCAUUAAAAUAUGUUUAUAGCUGGCUAAUAGCCUGCUAUUCGCUCUUAGAGUAAGCCCGUGCCUUUUGGCUGCCCACCUGGACCAAUCGGAAACAGAAAGGGCAAAAAAAAACUCCCCGAAAAAGGUCGGAGUAGUUGUAGCUUUCGGUCUUUUGUUCACUUUCUCUCUCGUUUUCCUUUGACACAAUUUUUAAACUACUGAUGGCCCUUUGAUUUAGAGAAGAAAAACAUAGAAAUUUUGAAGGAUUUUAAUUCUAUAAAAAAUUUUCCUAUGAAAACCUUUAAAACAAAGGAUUGAAUUCUAUGUUAUCAUUUAAAAUUCAUAUAAAAUGGAUAAUCCUAUAGAGAUUUUGGAGAAAAUUUAGCAAGAACUCUAACCUCUUGAAAAUUUUUCUUCGAGUCUAUCUCUCUCAUCCGAUUCCUAUGUUUUUCAUGAGCUUCAAUCAAACGGUCAUUCCUAUAUUUUUCCUAUAUUUUGCAAUUGCAUUUCUAUUAGAAUCUUGUGGUUUUUCUAUUCCUCUAUGUUUGUAUUCCUACGAUUCAAAUGGGCGCUAAACGAUGUGUGUUUUAAAAAAUUAACGAAAAAUACUUUUAAAAAUCAUAUUAAUUCAUUUAUUUUUUUAGUAAAUAUUUAAUUAAUUAUGCGCUAAUGAACAAUAUCGUUUUCCACGAAGGAGGUGGAGUUCACCUCCCGAACACAACCUUCGUCAGGAAGGGAGCGGUGCAGAAACGGAAACCAUGAGAAGAAGCAGGAGGAAAUUUGUUCCUCGUUCGAUCCUGACGAAAUUUGCCCGGAAUCCAUUUGAAUCCAUGAGGUUUUCAAGUUUCGGGCGACAGUUUUCUGAAACUUCGUUGUCUGAAGCAGUAUUUUUGUAGGGCUGGCGAUUGGUGCAGGGAAAUAGUAGUGGCAAGGGAAAUUUUGCCAGGUUUGUCUAGUUCUGAAGUAGUUUGGGACUUGGGAUCAAGGUGCUAUAAAUUGCGAGAGCUACUGGAUGAAAGUGACGAUACAUCGAACGGUGGCCCAGUGCUGAAAAAGGGCGAAAGCAACCAGUAGAAGAUAGGCAAGGGAAUGAAACAGCCGAUGUGUAUAAUCCCCAAGUGGUCCUUGGGUUUGUGCUGUUGUUCAAUCCAAGUCCUUGACCACCUAGCUUUAACAUGAUUUAAAUUCAUUGGUGCAACUUAAAUAUAAGCUAGGUGGUGUCCGUGUUUUGCUGCGAAAAUUACAAAGCAAUCUUCAGAAUGUUUUUUUUUCCAACAAUCAAGCUAGGAGUCCAAACGAUAUUAGUUAUUAACAAUAAAUUAAACUGGUUUACCAAGCUAUGUUUGGAGAGAAAUAAAUUUAGUAGAUUAUAUAGGAGAUUGUAGAUGAAAUGUUAUAUUGUUGGCUAAAAUUCGCAUUGCAAGAAGCAGAAGAUAGAAAAAAAUUAAUGAAACAUCAGGGUUUAUCAAUAAUGAUCAUAAAACAAACAAAUGAUACUCACACUUUGAUACAAAAUAUAUUGACAUGUAUAUGUUUUAAGUAUUAUGUUGAAAUAUUAUGGAAAUGAUGUGAGUGGUGAUGAAAGGAUAUGUUUGCAUGUUGAUUAAGGGUGUGUUUAGUUCCACGCUAAAAUUGGAAGUUUGACUAAAAUUGAAAGUUUGAAGAAAAAAGUUAAAAGUUUAUGUGCGUAGAAAAGUUUUGAUGUGAUGGAAAAGUUGAAAGUUUGAAGAGAAAAUUGGGAACUAAACUCAGCCUAAUUUGUAGAAUUCAAUAGAUUGUAGAUUAUGUUACAUGCUUACAUAAGGUUUGAUAUGUAAUUAUUAUUAGUGAAUAAUGAUGUGACACGGAUACAUGUUGAGUUUAGUAUAUGUUAACUAUCCUAGCCCCUAUUAUCAAUGGCCCCUAUGGCAGCGUCCCAGUCAGCAUGAACAGUCAUACACAUACGAGGAAUUAACGAGCUGUAGCUUCUGAACAGGCACAAUCUUAUCUCAUUUUAAUUCACUUAUAUGCAUAUUUUUUUGCCAUCACAUUGCAACGUCCAAACUUCAAACAGUACGUGGCACCAACUAACAGAGGUGAUGUGCAUCUCACCCAAAAAAGAAAGUGAGAUUGAUGCUUUAAAAUUGAGGCCAAAUAAUUGGAUUCGUCGUGAUAUAGUCAAAUUCUAGAAACUACUUUUAAGCCAAAUGGAACAUUCUUAGCUCCAUCGUGCAAAACUUGGUUCGUGUUACAUCAAACCCUUGGACAAAAAAUGUUGAAUUUCUCGUCCAUCCAGAACUUUAUACCUUGAGUAAACUAUGCUCACAAUACAUAUACUUACGUGGUGAUUAUAAAUAAAUACUCGUAAGUAUCACCUUGUAAAUUGCUAGUUCUGGUACAAUAACUUAUCUAAUCCGUGCAAGCGUGUGCCGAAACAAUCAAGGGAAGCAAAUUAAUUUCAUAUAACAUGGCGCACCCUGAUAACGCCUUUGCAUGCUCCGGAUGUUUGUAGUUGUGUAGACCUGCGCACGCUAGUUUAAUUUCAGUUUUGUAGAACUUAGCAGUUAACAGUAAUAAUUUUGUUGCAAUCUUUUGCAGGUGCUUCCACUACUGGAGUACUUUUUUAAAAAAAAAAAAACAAAACAACUGCUAGCUUGCAUUGCUGAUCAAUUUUUCAUGUGCGAUUUGUUUUGUAUCAGGUUCACAUGGACGUACUACUAUACGCAAGUUAUUCUAUCCGAAUAAUCAACUUGUAAGUUGUUGUUGUACAUAUUAGCAUCCAUCCUGCAAGUUCAUUCGAGUGUAUGUAUUAACAAGUACUUGUCUAAAUCUUUAGUUAGAAAUAAAGUUUGUGUGGGAGUGGGACAGAGUAAUUACUGCCGGUGGUGUUUGAAUCUCCUGAAGAUGAAUAUAAAAAUGAAGAUUAAGUGUUUUACGUAAAACGAGAUAGUAAUAACGUGUGAUUAAUUAAGUUUUAAUUAUUACAAACUUGAAAAAUGGAUUAAUCUGAUAUUUUAGAAAAACUUUCAUAUAAAAAAUUUUCACACGAAACACACUGUUUAGUGGUUUAAAAAACGUGCCAUAAAAAUCCAAAUCUUAAUCCAACCUUUCCAGAGGAAAUGAACGGGGCCGACACAGAAUUAUCCUAAGGCCCUGUUUAGAUGGGACUAAAACUUUUAAGUCCCUAUCACAUCGGAUGUUUGAAAAUUAAUUAUAAAUAUUAAACGUAGACUAUUAAUAAAACCCAUCCAUAAUCUUGGACUAAUUUGCGAGACGAAUCUAAUGAGCCUAAUUAAUCCAUGAUUAGCCUAUGUGAUGCUACAGUAAACAUUCUCUAAUUAUAGAUUAAUUAGGCUUAAAAAAUUUGUCUCGUGAAUUAGCUUUUAUUUAUGUAAUUAGUUUUAUAAGUAGUCUAUAUUUAAUACUCUAAAUUAGUGUCUAAAGACAGGGACUAAAGUUAAGUCCCUGGAUCUAAACACCACCUAAGUACUCCGUGCUGGCAGAAAUGUUAAAUUUAUUUAUCACUGACAGCCUAAAAACACUACAAGUAUAAAUAAGGAGUACAUUUAAUAGUAUUAAAAGUACUCGUAUUUAUACAGGAAAUGGAAAAUGGGCCCAGCUGUCAUCGUAGGUUUUCCUUCGGCGUACGCCCGCGAAUCUCCCGCCGGGUAUAAAUAGCGGCCCGGAACCCACCCAAACUCCCAAAUUCCAAUCCGGUCCCUCGCCUCGCCUCGCGUCUCCUCCUCCUCCUCCUUCCCCUCCCCGCCUCCAAUUUCUUCCUACUCCUCCCGCCUCCCCGCGAAGCUUCCCCACGCCUCAGCCGCCAAUCCAGCCCUAGUGUGGCGGCGGCGGCGGCGGCUUCUAGAAGCCCUCCUCUUCCCGGACUCCAGGAUGGCGGCGGUGGCGGGUAGCGCGAGCGCAGGCGCCAACGGUUCGGCGGCGGCGCAUCGGGUGGGGGCGCCGACGAACCCCAUGGCGACGGCGCUGCUCACCGAUCAGUACCAGUUCUCCAUGGCCUACGCCUACUGGAAGGCCGGCAAGCACGCCGACCGAGCCGUGUGAGCGCUCCCUCUCCUUCUCCUCCUCCUUCUCCGACGUCUCUCUCUCGUUGGGGCCGCGCCGAUUGGAUUGGAUCGGGAGGCGGCGGUGAUCUAGGGGAGAGUUGGUGCGCUGAGGUUGUUGGGGUUAUGGAUUGGGAGAGAGAGAGAGAGAGAGAGACAGAGAGAGAGAGAGAGGUGGGAUUUUACGGGGAGAUUUUUCACCUCCUGCGAUUCUCGCGGUGUACAUGAUUGCAUUCUCUCCUCUUGCGGCUGCCAAUCCGAUGGUUUCCUCCCACCUCCCGUUCUGUUCAGAUCGUUUUAUUUUUAUUUAUUUACUUAUUUUGUUUUCGUAGAGUUGUUUUUUUUCUUCAAAGUUCAUAUUGUUUUUUUUUUUUUGCUGAGAUGUAGUACUGAUUUAGUGCACGGUAAUCUGGUGGUUAACCUGUACUGCUCUGAGCUGGCACCCUGGUUUUUUGCUUCGGGAAGCUCUCCCCUCCUUGUGCAGUUUUUAAUCAUCUCUGCCUUGUCACUUUGUCAGAGGUCUAAGAUUCUCACUAUUUCUAUUGCAUAUACUACUUGAAAUAUGAUGUCACUAUUGUUGAAACGAUUUAGGAAUAGUUGUGUGUGGCUCUCCUUUUUUUUUUUGGGUUUAUAUUCGUGUAUUUCUUCAAGUUGUGUGUUGGACCUUUUUAAUGUUGCUUUCAGUGGCCGACUUUGUAUUUGCUGGAAGCCAUUUUUCAGUUUGUACCGGUUUAUUUAUAAUCGCGUAAUGCCAAAGUUGGAUUCGAGUUGUCUUUCAAUUGUUUGGAGUUUGAGCAAUUGAGCUGGUUCCACGUGGGCCCUCGAUAUUAUACUCUGUUGAUAAACCUGGAAUUUAAUAUUGUUUAUCUCGACGUAGUUCCAAAGCUGGUGUUCCUUGUGAUUAUCGGUGAAGUACAUAUCAAUUACUUCUUGUGAUGAACCACAACAUACAGCAUGUCAUACAGCCAGCACCGUCCAUGAGUUUUAGUGUGUAGGUGGAGCACUUUCUAUAUGGUGUAAUGCUAUUUAAUAACGGUUCAGAUGGAGCCAAAUGGAAUGGAAAAUCUGGAUGAUUUUAAGUAGAUUUAAUGUGCUUCGCUACUUGAGUAAACAAAUCAGAUUGUUGGUUCUUGGGUUUCUUAUUUUAAUUGAUUUGGCUGUUAUCUGUUGUCUUAUUCAUUUAUUUUUUAAUAUAAAAAGUGAUGUGAGUUUGAGGAUUCUUGUUCAGAAGCUGGGAAGGUUACAAAACGUAGCGUUUUUAUUGAAAGAAUAUUCUGUUAGUUACGCUGAAAUCUUGAGUUCGCCUCUGAGUCACACUUUUGUAUAUUUGCUGGGAACAACAUGAAAAUGCAAAAUUUGGGAGUUGUCAAAACUACAUAUGAAUAUUGAUACAAAAGAGUCAACUUUGGAAUAAAGAUAAUGUUGCUCUAUAUUUGUAUUGCAUGUGAUAAUUGUCUAUGAUGUCUAAUGAUUUUUCCUAAACUAAUGGCAUAUAUGUUUCUGAAUCACUACGCUAUGGGACAUGCUUUAUGGUUAUACUUAUUACUAUCACAUUUUUGGAUAAUUAUCCUUUGUUUUUUUAGUUUUGUGUGUGAGAGAGGUGGGGUGUAAUCCAAAAAAACACUAAAGACUAAGGAACAUGUCACUGUGUGAAAUGCAUUUUUCUCAAGUUCUGUUUUUAUGGAUUUGAGCAUUUCUCUGGGGUAUGCUAUGUCUUUGGUUUUAGGUACUUGGGAUUUAUGUCGACUGAUUCAGAAUCUACCAACUAAUUUACAGACUCAGAAUCUACCAGCUAAUUUAUAGAUUCAGUAGUAAUGCAGAUGCAUUAGCUGAUUGUGUAUUCCAUUGGAACUUGAAAAGUACUUUGGCAUAACACAGAACCACUUCUCUUCAAGUUACUAAAAGCAGAUUUAAUUUAAUGUGCUAGCUCUUUAGAUAUAUUGAGUUACCUUUUUAUGUCCUUUUGAUACAGAACCACUUCUUUUAAGUUACUAAAAAGCAGUUUUGUCUAAAAAUGUUGUAUAGAGCAAUCACAUGUGUUUUUUCGUUGUGCACUAUUAGUGUACCGUUAAUCAUAAACACUUUUUUUUGUCUAGUUCAUCUUGGAAGUUGGAAGUAAUACUUCUCUGUUAAAUUAUUGACUGAAUGGACCAGUUUCAGUAAAUGCUGAACUAUGGAUGGAGAGAGCCUAUUUCUUUAGAUACAAGGCUUGUUUUGGAUGGGCAUUAGGAUUAAGAAGGAUAUGAAACCAAGAGAAAGUGAAGACAAAUGACCAUGUGUUAACACUUAAAUAUCUUGGGAAUGAGUGAGAGAGAGAGAAUAGCUGGUGAGGCUGAGGACAUUACUUAUAAAUGUAGGUCAGAGAAGAUGUGCUAAAUAGAGGUGUUAAACAUCAAUAAAUUUGCAUGCGUUCCUUAUAUUUUGUAAGGAUCUUAAGAAACUAUGGGCCUUGUGUUUUGAAAAGCAGGGAAUGUAACUAGCAUUUCAUACAUUGGUCGACCUCAUGCUGACCUGGUUCCAUUUCUUUUUAUAGGUUUGAUCUGUACUUCAGGAAAAAUCCAUUUGGUGGAGAAUUCACUGUUUUUGCUGGUCUUGAAGAAUGCAUUAAGUUCAUUGCAAAUUUUAAGUUCACAGAAGAUGACAUUUUGUUCCUGCAAUCAGUCAUGCCAAUGUGUGAGGUAAGCUGUUACAUAAAAUUAUCUUUCUGUCUUAAAGUGGCAUAUGGUUCUGAUAUAAGCUGCUAUACUAUCUAAAAUCCUAUUAAUUUGCCAUAUUUAUAGAAAGGCUUGUUAGCAUAGUCUACAAAAACAUUGCCAUUUCAAAUGUCAGAUCUUUAAUGUAUCACUUGUUAGUUGUUUGCCAUGAUAAAUGUUCAUUUACUGAUGUGAUAUGCGAUUCUAGGAUGCGUUCUUUGAUUAUCUCAGGAAAACCGACUGCUCUGAUGUGGAAGUGUACUCCAUUCCUGAGGGUUCAGUGGUUUUUCCAAAAGUUCCUUUGAUGCGAGUUGAGGGUCCAGUUGCUGUAAGUACAGAGUCCCUUAACAAUUGUUGUACCUAAAACAUGUUGAUCAUGAACUUCUGGUUUGAACAUUAACCAGAACUUUGCAUGGUUCAUCAGGUGGUCCAACUACUUGAGACACCGUUUGUAAAUCUUAUCAAUUAUGCCUCUUUGGUAACAACAAAUGCUGCGAGACACCGCCAUGUUGCUGGAAAAUCAAAAGUUUUACUGGAAUUUGGUUUGAGACGAGCACAGGUGUGAUCUUGAACCAUCCCAUUUACACUGCCAUUUUGAUUUUUGUAUGGUACACAAGUAUUUGGUAUUUCUGUGCAUGAAACAUAGCUGUGGAUUUGUAUUGACAGGGGCCUGACGGUGCAAUAAGUGCUUCAAAGUAUUGUUUCAUGGGAGGUUUUGAUGCAACCAGGUGGUAGUUCUUCCAUGGUUCCAUUUACAAAUUUACAUAUCUUUAAAAAAUUUAUAAAUUCUGCAUAUCCAUGUUACCUCUUUGCAACUAUACUUUCACAAGAAGUAUAUUUUGAAUCAUGCUUGCCUUGCUUAGUCCUUUUUCCCUCCUUAACAAAAUUUUUGUUUUUCGUCCUCAGAAUGUGAAAAACUACUGUUGUAAACCAUUUAUUUAAUUCAUCGUCCUCUCAUUAUUUUGCAGUAAUGUUUUGGCUGGAAAUCUGUUUGGCAUACCACUUCGCGGAACACAUUCUCAUGCUUAUGUUAGCUCAUAUAUGGUCAGUAAAUACCUUUUUGUGUCACCGCAAAAGAAAAAUUCUUUUUGUCAACAAACAUAAUCCAGUAUUUUCUCCUCUAUCAUUGGAGCACUUUAUGUCUCUAUUGAAGUUUGUAUGCUGUGGUUGCAUUGACUAAACACAACUUUUAGUUCUUCUCCACAUCAGUAGAUGAGCCCAAAUGUUGUGUCAGUUUCAAGUUGAAAGAUGUGGUUUUUCUUCACUCAAAUUAUCUAGUUGACAGUUGAGACUGCCUAGUGUUACAAAAUGUUGCAGAACACAGUUUUGUUGUUGUGGCAAUUGAAUCCAGAUUAUAAUCGAUGAAAAAAAAAGGCACCAGAGUCUAUGUUUUGUUGAAUAACCUGCACUUGCUUUGUUUUUUAUCCUUUGUUAGCCAUGCUAGUUAUUUUUAUGCUCACUCCUAGCUUGCUGAUCUACUGAGUUUUUCCUGUCUUUGCUUGAUACUUAUCUGAGGUACAUAGAUAAUCAUUUUAUCAACAUAGCAACUAUUUUUCUUUCUGCCAUUAACGUGUGAUGUGCAUGACAGUUUGUAUUAUCCCUUGUAUUUGCAAUAAUAGAGAGUUAUAUUAGAUAUCAUACAUUCUGGAGACUUUUUCUAUUUUUAUACCACUUGUUGCUAGUUGUUGCCUGAGCUAACAAUCUUUUCAACCCUUUCAGAGCCUUGAUGAGAUCCCAGACAAGUCCCUCAAGAGCAAAGAUGGUUCAAGAGUCUGCAAAGAUUUUGUUAGUUUGGUAAAAGAGUGGCUUCAAAAGAUUCAGGUAUAGCUGUAAAAACCUCGUGGCAUGCUUUUACUUGCUACAGUACCCUUAUGUUACUAUUUUGUUGGUUUCAGUUAGCAGAUUCGUUAUGUGGUGUAUUUGGUGAGACAAAUCAA
rnacentral:lncRNA from 1 species